GUAAAAAAAAUAAAAUUAAAGGUAUUGUUUUUAAAAUUUAAAAAAUCCCCCCCCAAAAGAAGUUAUUGGCUUAAAAGAAGUCACAGAAGGCCUGUGGGGCUGACUGAAGGCCUCGUCUUCACAGGACAGGAGAGACUGUGUCCUUCAUCUCCAGCAGCCGGUUACAACAGGCAAGGCAGCAGAUUAUUUUAUUUAUCAUUUUCCUUAGGUUUUUUUUCUUUUCGAGACAGGGUUUUUCUGUAGCUUUGAAGCCUGUCCUGGAACUUGCUCUUGUAGACCAUGCUGGCCUCGAACUCACAGAGAUCCACCUGCCUCUGCCUCCCAAGUGCUGGGAUUAAAGGCGUAUGCUACCAUCAGCUGGCUAGGUUUUUAUGAAAUUAUUUAACAGACUGAAGAGUUUACCAUUACUUGGUCUCCUUGCUUUGAAAAUGGUGGAGAGUUGGCCCGCUGACUAGGCCCCUACUUGAUAAUGGUCUUUUCCUGGUUCCCCAGUGGCCCUGCCCCUGGCUUCAGACUACAGAAGGUGGUUCUGGAAACCCAGAACCCCUGCCCUGGCCACUGGCCCUUCGUGUGCACUUAGGGUUGUUGGUGUUUUUAGCAGGGAGGCCCUAUUAAAUUGCUCUGACUGCCUGGGAAGCCAGACCUCUCUUGGGUCUCUCGGGUUGCCUAGCAUCCAGUAGGUUAACUCCAGAAUCUGAUUUCACCUGGACCCAGGCACCUUCCAGUUUUUUUAAUAUUUAUUUAUUUAUUAUGUAUACAUUAUUCUGUUUGCUUGUAUGCCUACAGGCCAGAAGAGGGCACCAGACCUUAUUACAGAUGGUUGUGAGCCACCAUGUGGUUGCUGGGAAUUGAGCACAGGACCUUUGGAAGAGCAGGCAAUGCUCUUAACCACUGAGCCAUCACUCCAGCCUACCUUCCAGGUUUUUCCCAGUAGCUCUGAGUCUCCACUUACCCACCAAAUAACCUGGCUAGAGCAGGAACAGGUGGGUCAACAGACAGGUUCCAUUACAUAAGUGACUGACAAAGGUUGGGAGGUUUGAAGCUGGUUACUGAAUAAUCGGGGUGGGGGUAGGAACGCCUGGUCAGACCUUGACCAUCACAAACCUUUACCCAGCUCUCUCACUGACUGUAAAAACCCAAACAGCCUGGCAGUAGUGACCCACACGUUUAUUCCCAGCACUUGAACUUGGGAGACAGAGGCAGUCUCAUCUCUGAGAUGGAGGCCAACCUGGUCUACAGAAUGAGUUUCAGGACAGUCAGGGCUACACAGAGAAACCCUAUCUUGAAAAACAAAACAAAACCAAAAAUCAUCUUGGAAUAGGAGCCAUGGCUCAGUGGUGAAGAGAGCACUUGCUGCUCUUGCAGGGGCCUGGGUUCAGUACCCAGAACUUAUAUGGAAGCUCACUCCUGUUCCAAGGGAAUGGACACCCUCUUCGGGCCUCUGCGGGCACUGCAUACAUACAUGUAGGCAAAACACCUAUCAAGUCUAAAAAAAAAAAAAAAGUGCGCUGAAGGACAGACAGGCCUGGCUAGCAGAUGACCAGCACUCAGGAGGCACAGGCAGGCGGAUCUCUAAGUCUGAGGCUUGCCUGGUCUAAAAAUGAAAUUAAUGAACACCUUUUGCAUAGACACAAAUUAUAAGCCGCUCAACUGUUUUACAGUCUGAGGUGAGCUAAGAUCCAAAUGCCUUAACCUCACAGUGUGGUGACACUAUGCAGUGCUUUAGAGAACAAGGACUCUUGGGACGUCAAUUGGCCUGACUGACAGUGCAGGCACAAUCUGGCCCUUUCAUCUGACCCCAGGUGACCGUUGCUAAUCUCUGUUUUCCUUUCCCAACUCUGUCUCACAAAAUUCUCAUAAUUUUCUUAUGAUUAAGAUGAGAAAGAAACCCAGCCUGCCAGCUUCUUACCCAGCUCAGAACGGUGGACACUGUCAGAGAAGAAUAAAAUCUAUCAGAAAACA